rfam:Muricauda lutaonensis strain CC-HSB-11, complete genome.
GAGCCGGUAGUUUAAUUGGUGAAAACACUGGUCUGAUAAAUCAGAGAUGUAGGUUCAAACCCUACCCGGCACC